rnacentral:tRNA from 1 species
GGAGCUGUGCCUGAACGUCUUAAGGGGUACUUUGAUAGAGUGAACCACGGGGGUUAAACUCCCCCCAGCUCCU